GCUUCCCAAGCUCAUGACGAGGGUUCGAUUCCCUUCGCCCGCU
rnacentral:tRNA from 1 species